UACGAAGGGGGCUAGCGUUGUUCGGAAUCACUGGGCGUAAAGGGCGCGUAGGCGGCUUGAUAAGUCGGGGGUGAAAGCCUGUGGCUCAACCACAGAAUUGCCUUCGAUACUGUCGAGCUUGAGACCGGAAGAGGUAAGUGGAACUGCGAGUGUAGAGGUGAAAAUUCGUAGAUAUUCGCAAGAACACCAGUGGCGAAGGCGGCUUACUGGUCCGGUUCUGACG
rnacentral:rRNA from 1 species